AUGAGGGGAGCGGGGCGAAGCUGGGGGGACAGCGGGAGCCUCGGCGGGCGGCAGAGGGCGCCCCGAAUUCCGCCAGAGAGGGGCCGGGAGGAGCCUCCGGCUCGGCUCGGCCGAGGAGGGAGGGAGGAAAGGAGGAGAAGGAGGAGGAGGAGGAGGAGGAGGGAGCUGCCACGUCCUCUGCGCCGAGCGGCGCCAGCCCCGCGCCUCACUCAGCCCCACGUGUGGCGGAGCGGGGGAAGUUGCGGCGGGGAGCCCGGACUCUGCCCCUCGCUGGCCGCCUGUCCCUGCUCUCAGGAGGGCGCAGCUCCGAGGUUUUGGCGAAGCUGUUGACUGCAAAUGCAGGGUGAUACAGAAGAGCAUGGACAGCACUGAUACAGACAGAGUUUCUCGUACAGCCAGCCAGUUGAAGGAGACAGAAGAUUUCAGCCCCCUGCUUCGAGAGACCUUGGCCCGUCUUCUGCAGCUCAACUCCCCUCACUCCUCCGCUUUGGCAACCGAAAGAUCCUCAGAGGAAAAUGAGGCAGCUAAGAGGGAAGCCCAAAAAAGAGACCUCCAAAGACAAAAAGGAGAGGAAACAGGCGAUGCAGGAGGCCCGGCAACAGAUCACCACCGUAGUGCUUCCCACGCUGGCCGUCGUAGUACUGCUGAUUGUGGUGUUUGUUUAUGUCGCAACUCGCCCAAAUACGACUGAAUGAUGCAGUGUUGCAGACUUUCUACCUUCGGGGUAUUCAUGCUUUUAUCAAGAGCCAAAAGAAACUCUCUGCCACUCCUGAUACUUUACAAAAGAACUUGCUGGUGUCUUCGGUCUCUUCUCUUGGUUAGGGUUCCACAGUUUCUCUUUAGGAAUGUAACAUAAAACGUAUUAGUGAAUGUGCCAGUACGUUUUAUGGUCCAGUUCAUGUGCCUUUCAGACUUUUAAAAUGGUGUUUUUCUUAAAUCUGUUUGAAGUUCUAUAUUGUAAGAGGAAAUUCUGUUCUGCUAUAAAUUUGUAAAGAAAUCAGCGUUCAGCUUUUAUCACUGCUAUGGAUAAUGUUGCUCCCAUGAGCUCUUGUCUGUCUAUUUCAGAACUUCCAAAGAAGUACAUUUCUUCUUUGUACUUAAUGUCAUAUGAAAUGCUUUGAUUCAGAAAGGAUAUAUUUAUUUUUUGAAUAAAAGAGAGAAGUCUUACUUGGAAUGUUAUUUU
rnacentral:lncRNA from 1 species